rnacentral:tRNA from 1 species
AGGGAUAUGGUGUAAUGGUAGCAUACGGGUCUCCAAAACCCUUGAUGGGAGUUCGAUUCUCUCUAUCCCUG